GCGCUGGACAAUGCCCCCUGCCUUCCCAUUUAGGUGGGGAUAAGCAAUAGUUCUGGUUUUCCCCAUGAGUAUUCUGAUGCUUAAAAAACAAAAAACAGGCAAACCUCUCCUGCAAAGAGCCACUGCCAGCAGUUAUUUAACUGGCGGGAGGGAAAUGCCCUUUGCACAUGUUCAGAGACACUCUCCAGAUUCUGGUUCUUGCAUCCUGGGCUGGGCCCCAGAAUCCAGAACAAAUAGCAAAGGCCAAGUCCCUGUUCUGUGUUAUUUCAUGACAGGCAGUGCAGUGCAAUGGUUAGAGACCUGGGAGAGACCCGGGUGCAGAUCUCCACUUGGGCAUGAAGCUCACUGGCUGUGACCCUGGGGGCCAGUCAGUGCUUCUCAGCCUAUCCUACCACACAGGGUUGCUGUGAGCUCCUUGGAAGAAAAGCUAGGAUAGAAAUGCAUUAAAUAAUAACAAAGUUCUUUCCAAAGAGAAACCUCCCUCUUACCAGCUUUGCAAUACUGCUCUCUCUUCUGUUCCCUUAAAAGGGACAUGGGAUCCCCGCACCAUCAUCUCCUCCUCCCCCGCCCCCCCCCCCCCCCGCAAAUGGAUGCAUAAUAGCCCAGGGAGACUAAUGGAGCCUUGGGAACUGACACAGUGGAAGAGACUCUUCUCCAUUAGCUGCAGAAGCAGCCGCUGCUCUGGCGUUAAUGGAUGCAUUUGAAUCCUAACAAUAAUAAAAAGAAAAGAAUACCUGCAAUGUUCAGUGCAAGAGGAAAAAGCCAGGAUGAAAACACGUUGGGAGAGGAUCUCAGCUCUUGGGCGGCCCAGAAACUGCCUCUGCAGGAGCAAACAUGAUCCCACGGCGUGUGGGAGCACAGAAAGGGACGCAUACAGGUCGCUCUGCCCAAAUCACUGCUCAGCCACAGGUCACCGGUUAAACCAUGAAUUUGCUCCCGCAAAGCAACAAAGGCAGGGAAUCACAGAAGUGCAAUGUUGGAAGGAGGUUCAGAGUCAUGAAAGCAACCUCUUGCAGAAAAAGGUGGGGUAUAAACGCAUUCAACAGAUUGAGGCUGAAUCCUGACAAGACAGAAGUACCGUUCUGGGGGGACAGGAGGCGGGCAGGUGUGGAGGACUCCCUGGUCCUGAAUGGGGUAACUGUGCCCCAAAAGGACCAGGUGCGCAGCCUGGGAGUCAUUUUGACUCACAGCCGUCCAUGGAGGCGCAGGUUAAUUCUGUGUCCAGGGCAGCUGUUUAUCAGCUCCGUCUGGUGCGCAGGAUAAGACCCUACCCGUCCAUGGACUGUCUGGCCAGAGUGGUGCAUGCUGGUUAUCUCUCACUUGGACUACUGAAAUGUGCUCUACGUGGGGCUACCUUUGAAGGUGACCCGAAAAUUACAACUAAACCUGAAUGCGGCAGCUAGACUGGUGACUGGGAGCAGCCGCCGAGACCACAUAACAACGGGCCUUCUCGGUGGUGGCACUCGCCCUGUGGAACGCCCUCCCACCAGAUGUCAAAGAGAACAAC